UAUUAUUUUCGCGCAUGCGCGAAAAAAAUUGAUCUUCCAAUCAAUUUUCGGCCCUGUUGCUCGCAAUUGUAUAGGAAAUGCAGUGUUUUUAUUAAAAAAUAAAGUUUUGAAAGUGAAUGCGAAGUUUGUGAAUAAAAAUGGAAGGAGAUAAUACGAUGGCAAUGAUUGUGGAAAAAAAAGUUGGAGUGCAUAAGAGCUGCUGCAGCGGAUUUUGCAAAAGUAGUGGUCGCAGUAGAGCUGCGUACGUCGAAUUGUGCAAUUUUUAUUCUAUUUCUUUCCCUAAACCAUGCCUACAAUUUAGAAAAGCAGAAAUUAAUAAUGCGAGUAUCAAAUUCCACUUAAAACGCGUGAAAAGUGCAGAAAAUGCAAUAAAUGGGUGAAGUUGUGUGGACGUAAAGAUUCCAAGUUUAAAUCAAUCAGGAACGUUACAAAAAAUACAUAUAUUUGUUCUUUACACUUCUUUGGAGAAUCUGGGCCUACAGAAGAGCAUCCAGGCCCGAUGGAAUGUCAUCCGAAAACUAUAAAAAGACAGUAAAAAAAGGCUAGAAGGAGCUUACAGCAAAAGUACUAACAUUUCUCGUUGAAGACUGAGGAAUUUACUUCAAGUACAGGGAGCAGUUGUUUCUCUGGAGAAAGAAGAGUAUGCUGAGCAUGGACAUGGAAUCUCUCUUUAUCUCAUUUUUGUCUCCUGUACUAUUUCUGAUGUAAAGGAAUGGAGGAAUAAAACAAUCUUUCGUAA